rnacentral:rRNA from 1 species
UACGUAGGGUGCAAGCGUUAAUCGGAAUUACUGGGCGUAAAGCGUGCGCAGGCGGUUAUGUAAGACAGAUGUGAAAUGCCCGGGCUUAACCUGGGAACUGCAUUUGUGACUGCAUGGCUAGAGUUUGGCAGAGGGGGGGUAGAAUUCCACGUGUAGCAGUGAAAUGCGUAGAUAUGUGGAGGAACACCGAUGGCGAAGGCAGCCCCCCUGGGUCAAGACUGACGCUCAUGCACGAAAGCGUGGGGAGCAAAC